CACACAAACAUCCAUAAUAUUAAAACAAAACAUUUGACAAACCCAGUAGAUGAGAUCGAACAGUAACAUAGGAACUAUAUAAUCAGUACCGUAAGGGAAACCAAAUAACAGUAAAAACAGCAAAGAUUAAACCUUGUACCUUUCGCAUCAUGGUUUAGCAAGGAUAUAAAAGACAAGAAAACAUCAUAGCCUUAACCACUCGAAACUAGGUGAGCUACUCCAAAGCAGUUAAUAGAACUAAUCCUUCUCUGUAGCAAAAGAGUGGAGAGACUUAAAAGUAGAGGUGAAACGCCUACCGAACCUAGAGAUAGCUAGUUGCCUAACAACGAACAUUAGUUCAACCAUAGGAUAUUACCGUAAUUCAUUACACCCUAUAAAUUACUCAAUAGAGGUACAGCUCUAUUGAAACAGGAUACAACCUGUAUUUGAGAGAAAACCAACCUUAACUCAGCCCAGUAGACCUUAAAGCAGCCACCAAAAAGAAUAUCGUUCAAGAAUUAUAAAAAAAAUUCAACCAAUAUCUAUAAACUCCAAACCAACUAAAGGCCAAUCUAUAAAUAUAGAUAAAACAAUGCUAAAACUAAUAAUAAGAAAAUUUACUAUUCUCUUAAGCGUAACCAUCAACUAAAAACAGAAAACCUUAUAGUAAUUAACAGACCAUAAAAGGCAAAGAAUCACCCAAUACACACUACCUACCUAUACUGUGACCCCGACAUAGGAACGCUAAAAAGAAAGAUUAAACAUUACAAAAGGAACUCGGCAAACCUAAGCUCCAACUGUUUACCAAAAACAUAACCUUUAGCCAAACAAAUAUUAAAGGCAACGCCUGCCCAGUGAACAAAUUAAACGGCCGCGGUACCCUAACCGUGCAAAGGUAGCGUAAUCACUUGUCUAUUAAUUGUAGACCAGUACGAACGGCAACAUGAGAGCCCAACUGUCUCUUGUAAUCAAUCAAUUAAACUGAUCUCCCAGUACAAAAGCUGGGAUACACAUAUAAGACCAGAAGACCCUGUGAAGCUUUAACUAAACCUCUAACCCAUAUAGAGACUAAUUUAGGUUGGGGCGACCUCGGAAUAAAAAUAAACUUCCGAACUAAAUUGAGCUUUACCUCACUUACACAGGCCCACAAGCCACAACACGACCCAGUAUAACUGAUAACUGAACCAAGUUACUCCAGGGAUAACAGCGCUAUCUUCUUCAAGAGCCCAUAUCAAAAAGAAGGUUUACGACCUCGAUGUUGGAUCAGGACACCCAGAUGGUGCAACCGCUAUCAAAGGUUCGUUUGUUCAACGAUUAAUAGUCCUACGUGAUCU
rnacentral:rRNA from 1 species